CUACAGUGUUGUCCUCUCUUCUCUCUUCAUAUAUGUCAUGAGAGAGGGAACAGUGUAAUGUGCUUGUUGGAUAGAAAUUGGAGUUCCUCUCAAAUACAGCUUGAAAGUAGGGAUUUCCUAAGAUCAUCCAACAGCUUCAAUCAGAAAUAGGCUUAAUGUCAUUUUGCAACAGAAUCUGUAGGAGUGACAUAGUUACUGCAACCAGAAUUAGCUUAGAAAACUGUUGAUAGCCAUGAUUUUUUUUGGCAUUUUUGCAAGCUUUGCUGCAAAUGGGCGUAGUGACCCUUCAUCCUUUGGGGAAUGUGUGCAUGCUCUUAAGUCUGAUGGACAUAAGGACAAAACCUGAGCAUGGGUUUGAAAAAUGACAGUUUUUUCACUCUUUUCCUGUACUAAGAGAUACCAACAGAUAUAUUUUCUACAAUGGAAAUGUAAAAAGGAAAUUUCCAAGGGAAAUUGGCUUAUCAGUUUCAUUGUUGGGUGGCUUUGGAUAUUUUCAUCCCCUGAACAGGAAUUCUAAUUCAUUGGACUGCAUUUGUUGUGGUUUCUGUGUGGUUGGCAUAAAAGACAAACAUGCCCUUUAAGGAAUUGCUCAGCUCCUUGUGAUUUACCCAUUCAUCUGUCCACCCUUCUUUCACCAUCUGCUUCUUCCGCUGUGGACAUGCGAAGUUGCUCCACGCCUGCAGCAAAAAGCAGCCUGGAUGGUUCACAGUCAGGCUUUUGCAUGCAGCAGAGUUUUCCUGUCUUUGCAAGCACGGAUGGACUUGCCUCUUUGUCAAGGUCUGGGAUGCCAGGCUGGAGAAAAUGCCUUGUUUUUUGUCUGCGGAGAAUGCAGGACAGAGGCAAUUCUGCUGAAAAGCAAAUCAAAACCAGAGGAAGGAAGUGCAGCCCUGCCUCAGUACAGUGUGCAACAAUGCAGGUCCUACCUGUGAGGUUGCUCUAUCCCUGAAAGAAGACAAUAGAAGAAAACUAGAGCUGCUCUGAAGCACUGCAAGAACAUAUUUAAGUGGAAACAAUAAUGUUGCAAUUAUUUUUUCCAUAAAAACAGUAUUUAAUUGAGGAUGUAAUCCUUCCAAAAAGAAAUAAUAAUUUUAAAAAGUCCAUUAAAAAAAAAUCUGUAUUGCAAAAUUACAUUGGGGGUUAUUGGUGGGAGAUUCCCUUAGUGCUACUCUUAUUAUGGAAGCUUGCUGUGUUUUAUUUUUAAUGAAGAGAAUAUUCAAAAUAUGUCAUCAACAAAGACCAUAUUCUCCUAGAGCAACGUCUUUCAUUGGAUGUGCAGAGUUUUAUUGCUGAGGUGGAGGAACAGGGUGGCUGUAUAUCCAAGAUGCUGUUGAAUCCUUUAUCUCUUUGUAGUAUUUAGAUUUUUGAUUUUGUGUGUCCAUAACAGUUACAGAAAUACACUUUUAUAUGUUUGUAACUCAGAGUAUUGGGAUGUCUUGCCAGUGUGUUUCAAUCUCUUUUACCUUUCAUUGGAGCAACCCACCUGCAAGCUUUUAUUUUUGUAGCUAAAGAAGUCGAACAGGGUUAGGGUUACAUUCCAGCUGUGUGGGGACUGUUAUGCUCAGAGUCCCUCAGUUUUAUUUCCAGAUGUAGUUCAAUGGGCAGCUGAGACAUGACCUGCUGCAGUGCACCUGCUCAGAGACUGUGCUUCUUUUUGUUGUUACCCCUGUUCAGUCUCUCCCGGUAUUUUCAUGGGGAGAAGCUAAGCAGAGGGAAUAGCCUGUCAGUACUAGACAAAGGGUUAUCUUCUGUAAGGCUCCCAAGUGAUCAGAGGACAGGGGCAGGUCGCUUAUUUAACCUUGCACUGGGUAGAGCAAAGAUUGAACAGACCUCAGAUAAGCUGUUGGAACCAAUGCCCAGACCAUGAACUGAAAUCUAACUCUGUCACUGAUUUAUCAGUGUGUUCUGAAUAUGAUGAUGGGUGCUAAGGGGAUCUCCCAUGGAAGCACAUUUGGAAUUCCCAGCUCAAUUCUGCUCAAAGGGCUCGGGGCUCAGACCACUCAGGAUAGCGUGAGAGGGAGGCAAAGCCUCACAAGCAUAGCUUCAGGCUCAGCAUAAUUAACAGAUUUGCAGGGAGUGGAGGAGAGGCUUGUCACAGAUUUUGACAGUCCCUUAAUGAAAUGUGUGGCCUUUCCUAAUGACCACACGUGCCUGCUGAACUGGUGAGCCCUGCCCUGCUCUGCCCUAGACCCUGCUGAGUGCCAGGGGCAGACCUGCAGAGGUGAGAGGGACCUCAGAGAGAUAACUGGUGUCUGGCAUCACCUGUGCUGCCAUCCCUGAACUGCCAGCCUGUGGUGUUUGGGACAGAGCUGACAGAACUCCCCUGUGUUGCUGCUUAGUUUCAGACUGUUUUGUUUUGGUCAUUUCAAGUGAGUGAUGGAUGAAUUUCUCAUGUGGAUUUUGAAAGGGCUGAAAAAUGUUAUCCAGUGGCUUCUAUUUCUCACAUUAUAUUUUUGAUGUAGGAAGGGAAGAUGAAGAACAUGAGGCACCUUCCUUUAAAUUUGUGACACUUCUGCCUGAUAUGGUUACUAAUGGGUAUUUUUGAUAGAAAUAGAAUAAAGACCUGGAAGCAUGGGCCCA
rnacentral:lncRNA from 1 species